UUAUUGGAGAGUUUGAUCCUGGCUCAGGACGAACGCUGGCGGCGUGCCUAAUACAUGCAAGUCGAGCGAACCAAUGGGAGCUUGCUCCCUGAGGUUAGCGGCGGACGGGUG
rnacentral:rRNA from 1 species